rnacentral:rRNA from 1 species
UACGGGGGGGCAAGCGUUGUUCGGAAUUACUGGGCGUAAAGGGCUCGUAGGCGGCCAACUAAGUCAGACGUGAAAUCCCUCGGCUUAACCGGGGAACUGCGUCUGAUACUGGAUGGCUUGAGUGUGGGAGAGGGAUGCGGAAUUCCAGGUGUAGCGGUGAAAUGCGUAGAUAUCUGGAGGAACACCGGUGGCGAAGGCGGCAUCCUGGACUACUACUGACGCUGAGUGAGCGAAAGCCAGGGGAGCAAACGGG